CCUUCCCAAGACCAAAACUAUACCAACAAGAAACGGAGCUGUAGACCCGCAAGCAAAAGCAACGGACUUUAAAACCCUAAAAAUUUGAUCGCCACUCGCAAGACAUUCUUUUCUUUUCUUCUCUCGCAAAACAACGAGAGAGAACUCUGCAUUUAAUCGAAUUGAUCUGAAACCCAGAUUGAAGGGGACGGCGGAUUAAUUUUUUUAAAAAAAAUUAUACUUUUAAAAUAAUAUAAACAGAACGGAAGAACAUUGAAAAUGUCGGCUGUAGUAUGCGGCAAGAGAUCAUACUUUGAUGAAAUUCCGGCACCUAACUCAGGCUCAGCGUCGCCGCCGAGUGCAAAGAAGCUUCGUUGCUCGUCCUCCACCUCUCCGGUCCGGUUCCCGGUUUCUCCGCCGCCGCCGUCGCAGAGCCUCAUUGAUCAGCUGAGAGCCCAGUUUCCUGAUUUCGACACUCAGCUUCUUGAGAAGGCUUUAGAAGAAUGUGGCUACAACUUGGAUGCUGCUAACAAAUGCUUGAAUGAGAUGCGGCAGGGGAAGUCCUGUGGUAAUGUUGAAGUAAAUGCAAAUAUGCAGAGUGGUGCAUGGCCAACUAAUGGAGUGGCAAUGCCUACUGAAGAUCAUACCGUCCAAGGUAACAUUCCAAUUGACGGUGUUCAUUGGGUUGAUUUGUUUGUGAGGGAGAUGAUGAGUGCUACUAGCAUUGAUGAUGCUAGAGCUCGUGCUUCUAGAUUAUUGGCAGCUUUGGAGAAAGCCAUUUGUGUGCAAACAGGUGCAGAAGCAGCUCAAAAGAUUCAGAAGGAAAAUAUGAUGCUGAAGGAGCAAGCUGAAGGGCUUCUCAGAGAAAAUGGCAUUCUGAAACGUGCUGUGGCCAUCCAACAUGAGCGCCAGAAGGAGCUUGACGAUAAAAACCAAGAGGUGCAGCAAUUAAAGCAGCUGGUUACUCAAUAUCAGGAGCAACUGAGAACUCUACAGGUGAACAAUUAUGCGCUGAAACUGCAUUUGCAGCAGGCUCAGCAGUCCAACUCGAUGCCUGGACAUUUCCAUCCAGAUAUCUUCUAAUAAACAUAAGAAAAUUUAAACUAGUCAUAUAUGCUUGCUGGCUUCUUUUAGAUCUCAUGUAGGGUGUUUGAAAGCAUCUUGUAAAUGAUGAUCACCAAAUAGGGAACAGGAACAGGAUUUGAUUUGAUUGGUACUUGUAUGCUUUAGGAUAUUGUGGAAAAGUGAGAUUUACUUCUUGAUGUUUUCACUAAGAUUUGUGAAGCUUUA